rnacentral:rRNA from 1 species
UGAGGAAUAUUGGACAAUGGGCGGGAGCCUGAUCCAGCCAUGCCGCGUGCAGGAAGACUGCCCUAUGGGUUGUAAACUGCUUUUAUACGGGAAGAAACGCACCUACGUGUAGGUGUCUGACGGUACCGUAAGAAUAAGGACCGGCUAACUCCGUGCCAGCAGCCGCGGUAAUACGGAGGGUCCGAGCGUUAUCCGGAAUCAUUGGGUUUAAAGGGUCCGUAGGCGGGCCUGUAAGUCAGGGGUGAAAGUUUGUGGCUCAACCAUAAAAUUGCCUUUGAUACUGCAGGUCUUGAGUCAUGGUGGGGUUGCCGGAACAUGUGGUGUAGCGGUGAAAUGCAUAGAUAUCACAUAGAACACCGAUCGCGAAGGCAGGUGACCAACCAUGUACUGACGCUGAUGGACGAAAGCGUGGGUAGCGAACGGGAUUAGAUACCCCGGUAGUCCACGCCGUAAACGAUGGAUACUAGCUGUGGGGACUUCGGUCUCCGUGGCCAAGCGAAAGUGAUAAGUAUCCCACCUGGGGAGUACGUUCGCAA